rnacentral:rRNA from 1 species
UACAGAGGGUGCAAGCGUUAAUCGGAAUUACUGGGCGUAAAGCGUGCGCAGGCGGCGUCGCAAGUCAGGCGUGAAAUCCCCGAGCUUAACUUGGGAAUUGCGCUUGAAACUACGAUGCUAGAGUGUGGCAGAGGGAGGUGGAAUUCCACGUGUAGCGGUGAAAUGCGUAGAUAUGUGGAGGAACACCGAUGGCGAAGGCAGCCUCCUGGGCCAACACUGACGCUCAUGCACGAAAGCGUGGGGAGCAAAC